rnacentral:rRNA from 1 species
GUCUUUUAGAAAUUAAUUUAAAGUCUAACCUGCCCACUGAAAAUUUUUAAAUGGCCGCAGUAUUCUAACUGUGCAAAGGUAGCAUAAUCAUUAGUCUUUUAAUUGAAGGCUGGAAUGAAUGGUUGGAUGAAAUAUUAACUGUUUCAUAGAAAUUUAUAAUAGAAUUUUAUUUUUUAGUCAAAAAGCUAAAAUUUAAUUAAAAGACGAGAAGACCCUAUAAAUCUUUAUAUUUAAAAAAUUAUAAUUAUAUAGAUAAAUUAAAUUUUAAUUUUUUUAAGUAUUUUAUUGGGGUGAUAUUAAAAUUUAAUAAACUUUUAAUUUAAAAUUAACAUAAAUUAAUGAAUUAUUGAUCCAUUUAUAAUGAUUAAAAAAUUAAGUUACUUUAGGGAUAACAGCGUAAUUUUUUUAGAGAGUUCAUAUUGAUAAAAAAGAUUGCGACCUCGAUGUUGGAUUAAGAUACAAUUUUAGGUGUAGUGGCUUAAAUUUAAAGUCUGUUCGACUUUUAAAUUCUUACAUGAUCUGAGUUCAAACCGGAGA